rnacentral:rRNA from 1 species
AUUGAACGCUGGCGGCAUGCCUUACACAUGCAAGUCGAACGGCAGCAUGAUCUAGCUUGCUAGAUUGAUGGCGAGUGGCGAACGGGUGAGUAAUACAUCGGAACGUGCCCUGUAGUGGGGGAUAACUAGUCGAAAGAUUAGCUAAUACCGCAUACGACCUGAGGGUGAAAGUGGGGGACCGCAAGGCCUCAUGCUAUAGGAGCGGCCGAUGUCUGAUUAGCUAGUUGGUGAGGUAAAGGCUCACCAAGGCGACGAUCAGUAGCUGGUCUGAGAGGACGAUCAGCCACACUGGGACGGAAACCAGACCCAGCCUCCUAGGGGAGGCAACAGGGGGGAUUUUGAGAAAAGGGAGGAAGGCCGGUACCAGAAAGCGCGGGAGUGUAAAAGAGCCCUUAGGUUUGAAAAACAUUUUUGUCGGAAAAAAAAGGACUAUGUUUAAUACCGGGGGCAAAUGGGGGACCGGAAAGAAAAGGGGCCGCCAAAUGACG